AGAGGAGCUUCUUCUGCGGGCAGGACAGAGCAACCGGAGCCCGAGCUGAGGCCGGAGACACGCGUCUAGGAGUCCGGAUCAUCGUGCACACCGAGCACCGACUAAAGCUACAGCAAAAAAGCAGCAAUCGGAAAUUAAAUAGAGCUGAGCUCCGGACUCCAGCAGCGGCGACACUGCUCCCUCUUUGACACCAAGCCGGAACGACAGAGCGCAGUUUUAGCGCCAAAUUACGUCCCGCGAAAUUCGGAUCUCCCGCGGUUUGAGGGGCGCUCUGAUUGGUCGACGGCACGCUGCGGCCCGCGCAACUCCGCAUAAAUUAGCAUAAAGCAGUUGGAGGACGGCGCGACCCCGGCCUUAAAGGGCCAGCGCGUCUUUUUCCCUUUUAUCUCAACAACAAAGAGUUAAGAGUUUCUGUUGUAAAAUAUUUUUUUUUAAAAAAAGACAAUAAAAUAGAGAAAUUGUAUUCGUGAUGAAAAAAUUUCCCAAGCCUGUAGAUUAAGGCUAGGAAUUCUUUACCAGAUAUUUUAAUAUUUGUCAUAAAUAUAACAUAGUUUUCAGGUUUUUCUUUUAAAUGCAUAUUAAGCAGCAGGGACACAGGAAGACAUUUUGGCCCAAGAUGGGGUGAUGAAAAAUUAAAAAGCAACACCAGGAUGAUGAUUGCAUAUGGAAAUCCUCUGAAAUAUCAUAUUCCGAAGCUUUCCUUGUCUUGUGCAUCUCCAAAUAAUAAUAAAAUACAAAAAUAAAAGCAA